AUAUAAUUCCGUCUAUAUAAGGUUCAGAGAAUGAAGGUGAGCUAAACUUCAAUAAUCCUAGCUUAAAAACAAUUGCAAAACAUCAAAUUUUACCAUUAUCUAGGAAAAUUGCUUUAGCUUAAUAUAAGUAAAAGAAAAUAUGAUUUUUUCUAGGUUAUCAAGAUUGAGAUUCUAGUAUAUAUCUUGAUUGGUUAUUACACUAGAUGCUCUUAAAUUUAUGGUUUAAGCUAAGUUUCAAUCUAUUUAUUGUUUUUUCUCUUGACUUAGUCAAUAAUUUGAUAAUUGUCAACUUAUUAAGCUGAAUUACUAUGGACGUGG
rnacentral:sRNA from 1 species